rnacentral:lncRNA from 1 species
CAUUGAUGGAGGUUGGCUGCUAACCUUAGAGAUUAAACAAAACUAGUCUUGUCCCGCCAAAUGCUAAUGUCCUGACCACAAUUAUGAUGUUCUUAGGUUUUAAGGUUGUUGUAUGCUAAAUUCAUUUUUGUUGUAAAAUGUUUUUACUGAUGGCGAUCUCUGAUUGUUCCUGCUUAGAUUGUUUUGAAGUAGCUGAUUAACAUUCGUACCUUUUGUUAAUAUCAAAAACACUAACAAACCUACCAACAAUUGAAAGGAUUUUAUUUCUUUUUUUGUGUACUUG